AGAGUUUGAUCCUGGCUCAGGAUGAACGCUGGCGGCGUGCUUAACACAUGCAAGUCGAACGAACCUUCGGGUUAGUGGCGGACGGGUGAGUAACGCGUGGGAAUCUGCCCUCAGGAGGGGGAUAACGGCUGGAAACGGCCGCUAAUACCCCAUAUGCCGAGAGGUGAAAUGAAUUUCGCCUGAGGAUGAGCCCGCGUCUGAUUAGCUAGUUGGUGUGGUAAUGGCUCACCAAGGCUUCGAUCAGUAGCUGGUCUGAGAGGAUGAUUAGCCACACUGGGACUGAGACACGGCCCAGACUCCUACGGGAGGCAGCAGUGGGGAAUUUUCCGCAAUGGGCGAAAGCCUGACGGAGCAACGCCGCGUGAGGGAUGAAGGCCUCUGGGCUGUAAACCUCUUUUUUCAAGGAAGAAGACCUGACGGUACUUGAAGAAUAAGCCACGGCUAAUUCCGUGCCAGCAGCCGCGGUAAUACGGGAGUGGCAAGCGUUAUCCGGAAUUAUUGGGCGUAAAGCGUCCGCAGGCGGCCCUGAAAGUCUGUCGUUAAAGCGUGGAGCUCAACUCCAUUUAAGCGAUGGAAACUACAGGGCUAGAGUGUGGUAGGGGCAGAGGGAAUUCCCGGUGUAGCGGUGAAAUGCGUAGAUAUCGGGAAGAACACCAGUGGCGAAGGCGCUCUGCUGGGCCAUAACUGACGCUCAUGGACGAAAGCCAGGGGAGCGAAAGGGAUUAGAUACCCCUGUAGUCCUGGCCGUAAACGAUGAACACUAGGUGUCGGGGGAAUCGACCCCCUCGGUGUCGUAGCCAACGCGUUAAGUGUUCCGCCUGGGGAGUACGCACGCAAGUGUGAAACUCAAAGGAAUUGACGGGGGCCCGCACAAGCGGUGGAGUAUGUGGUUUAAUUCGAUGCAACGCGAAGAACCUUACCAGGGUUUGACAUCCUGCGAAUCCCUUGGAAACGAGGGAGUGCCUUCGGGAGCGCAGAGACAGGUGGUGCAUGGCUGUCGUCAGCUCGUGUCGUGAGAUGUUGGGUUAAGUCCCGCAGCGAGCGCAACCCACGUCGUUAGUUGCCAGCAUUCAGUUGGGCACUCUAGCGAGACCGCCGGUGAUAAACCGGAGGAAGGUGUGGAUGACGUCAAGUCAUCAUGCCCCUUACAUCCUGGGCUACACACGUACUACAAUGCUACGGACAAAGGGCAGCAAGCUCGCGAGAGUUAGCAAAUCCCAUAAACCGUGGCUCAGUUCAGAUCGUGGGCUGCAACCCGCCUACGUGAAGGAGGAAUCGCUAGUAAUCGCAGGUCAGCAUACUGCGGUGAAUAUGUUCCCGGGCCUUGUACACACCGCCCGUCACACCAUGGAAGUUGGCCACGCCCGAAGUCGUUACUCCAACCCGU
rnacentral:rRNA from 1 species